rnacentral:rRNA from 1 species
AACGAACGCUGGCGGCAGGCCUAACACAUGCAAGUCGAGCGGAUGAAGAGAGCUUGCUCUCUGAUUCAGCGGCGGACGGGUGAGUAAUGCCUAGGAAUCUGCCUGGUAGUGGGGGACAACGUUUCGAAAGGAACGCUAAUACCGCAUACGUCCUACGGGAGAAAGUGGGGGAUCUUCGGACCUCACGCUAUCAGAUGAGCCUAGGUACGAUUAGCUAGUUGGUGAGGUAAAGGCUCACCAAGGCGACGAUCGUUAACAGGUCUGAGAGGAUGAUCAGUCACACUGGAACUGGGACACGGUCCAGACUCCUACGGGAGGCAGCAGUGGGGAAUAUUGGACAAUGGGCGAAAGCCUGAUCCAGCCAUGCCGCGUGUGUGAAGAAGGUCUUCGGAUUGUAAAGCACUUUAAGUUGGGAGGAAGGGCAGUAAGUUAAUACCUUGCUGUUUUGACGUUACCGACAGAAUAAGCACCGGCUAACUUCGUGCCAGCCGCCGCAGUAAGAC